AUGCGGUAUGACGGUACCCUUUCGAAUAAGAGGUUGCUAACUCUGUGCCAGCAGCAGCGGUAAUACAGAGACCUCGAGCGUUAUCCGGAUUUACUGGGCGUAAAGCGUCUGUAGGGGGUUUGUUAAGUUCCAAGUAAAAUCUUAAGGCUCAACUUUAAGUUCGCUUGGAAAACUAAUAAACUGGAGUCCAGCAGAGGUGCAUGGAACUUGCGGUGUAGGAGUGAAAUCCGUUGAUAUCGCAAGGAACACCAAAGGCGAAGGCAUUGCACUGGGCUGGUACUGACCCUGAGAGACGAAAGCGUGGGGAGCAAAACGGAUUAGAUACCCGUGUAGUCCACGCCGUAAACGAUGGAUACUAGAUGUUCGGGGAUUCGACCCCCUGGGUGUCACAGCUAACGCGUUAAGUAUCCCGCCUGGGAAGUACGGCCGCAAGGCUAAAACUCAAAGGAAUAGACGGGGAUCCGCACAAGCGGUGGAGCGUCUGGUUUAAUUUGAUAGUAAGCAAUGGACCUCACCAAGGUUUGACAUCCUAUGACAACCCUGGAAACAGGGCUUCCUUCGGGCAUAGUGACAGGUGCUGCAUGGUCGUCGUCAGUUCGUGCCGUGAGGUGUUCCGUUAAGUCGGGAAACGAACGAAACCCUCGUCGCAUGUUACAAAUUUCAUGCGAGACUGCCCGGGUCAACCGGGAGGAAGGCGGGGAUGACGUCAGAUCAGCAUGGCCCUUAUACCUUGGGCUACACAGGCGCUACAAUGGCCGGUACAAAGGGUUGCAAAACCGCGAGGUGAAGCUAAUCCCAUAAAGCCGGUCCAAGUUCGGAUUGGAGGCUGCAACUCGCCUCCAUGAAGUUGGAAUCGCUAGUACUCGUCGAUCAGCCAUACCACGGUGAAUACGUUCCCGGAUCUUGUACUCACCGCCCGUCACACCAAGAGAGUUGGUAUAUCCUGAAGC
rnacentral:rRNA from 1 species